rnacentral:misc_RNA from 1 species
CGCACCUUGCGCUCCUUGGUAUUCCGAGGAGCAUGCCUGUUUGAGUGUCAUUAAAUUCUCAACUCCACUCCAGUUUUUUUUUUUGAAGCUGGUGUUCGGGGCUUGGACAUGGGGGGUCUAUGCCGGCCUUUGUAAAACGGAGGUCGGCUCCUCUGAAAUGCAUUAGCGGAACCGUUUGCGGUCCAUCACAGGUGUGAUAAUUAUCUACGCCGUGGGGCUGCUCUCUGUCUGUUCAGCUGCCAAUCGUCCCUUCCAGGGGACAAUCUCUGAACAUUUUGACCUCAAAUCAGGUAGGACUACCCGCUGAACUUAA